rnacentral:rRNA from 1 species
GAUGAACGCUGGCGGCGUGCCUAAUACAUGCAAGUCGAGCGAACAGACGAGGAGCUUGCUCCUCUGACGUUAGCGGCGGACGGGUGAGUAACACGUGGAUAACCUACCUAUAAGACUGGGAUAACUUCGGGAAACCGGAGCUAAUACCGGAUAAUAUAUUGAACCGCAUGGUUCAAUAGUGAAAGACGGUUUUGCUGUCACUUAUAGAUGGAUCCGCGCCGCAUUAGCUAGUUGGUAAGGUAACGGCUUACCAAGGCAACGAUGCGUAGCCGACCUGAGAGGGUGAUCGGCCACACUGGAACUGAGACACGGUCCAGACUCCUACGGGAGGCAGCAGUAGGGAAUCUUCCGCAAGGGGCGAAAGCUUGACGGAGCAACGCCGCGUGAGUGAUGAAGGUCUUCGGAUCGUAAAACUCUGUUAUUGGGAAGAACAAAUGUGUAAGUAACUAUGCACGUCUUGACGGUACCUAAUCAGAAAGCCACGGCUAACUACGUG